GAAUCUCAUCGCGUUUUUCGUCAUUGCCGGCUUCCUCCGCUGCAAUUGCUGCCUGCAGCAGUUCACGGAGAGCUUCAUACUCCUUGAUCCUUUCUUGCAAUGCAGGAGAUUUGGCAAUGAGUUUUUUCUCUGCGAGUUUCCCACUGUCAAUGGAUGGUUUCUUGGUUGUAGACAAGGAGCUCAUCCGUCUCUUUGACUCUGACGUUGUGGAGGCAGGGGUUUUUGUAGCCGUCGCGGAAGAAGGUUUUGAAGUCCGUGGGGCCGUGGUCGUUGCCGCCGACCUGGACGUAGCCGUCGCAGGAGCUCGUGUGGCAGUGGUGGGUGGCUUUACAGGGCUUUGGGCAGUGGAUGGGCGGCUUGAAGUAGGUUUCUUUUCGGUAGAUGACGGGGUAAUUGUUGACCUACGAUCCGAAGGAGCCUUCGCAGGCGCUCUGGAAGAGGUGGAGCUUGUGAGGGAAGCUCUCUUCACCGUGGCAGAUAUGCCAUGUCUUUUGUUUUCAUCCCCCGAACUGGCAAUGGAUUUGCCUCUUUCAUCUGCGGAACUGCCCAAAGAUGCCCGAGAUCUAUGAGUUGCAGUAGUUGUGGAUGCUGGUUUGCGAGUGGUGGUGGACGUCACAGGGGGUCGGGUGGGGGGUCGAUUGAGGGUGCUUCCAGUAGUUCCCCUGGCGGUGGCAGAGGCUAGUUUCGACGCAACUGUUGAUGUAGAGCCAGCUGGACGUUUCGUAACGGUAGCGGUAGCGGUUCCCGGGCGUUUGGGAGCAGCAGAGGUGCCAGGCUUCUGGCGGGGGGACACGGUAGUGGAUGUCUUCUUAGCGGGUGCAGGGCUCGAGGGAGUCUGUUCAACAGGUUCUUCCGCCGUCUGCUCAGGUUCAUCAGUGGGAGCAGAGGUAGCCACAGUCCCAUCGACUGAGGAUUCCGGCAAGGAGGGCUCAGUAGCCGGCAUCAGGGGCUCUUCCGUCGAUGCCAUGUUGUGUGGAUUGGAGUGACGCUUGGGCGUCGGUGGGAAGAAUCAGGGGGUCCAAGCUUCGUUGGGGUACGAAGGAAAGGAGCGAGAGGAGGACGAUUGGCUGGGGUUAUUGGAGUGCGGGGGUGAGACUCCCAGUCAGAACCAAUGCAUGAGGGUGAAUUGAGAGCAGAGGAUAGGAGAGGAAACAGAAGAGCGGACGGAGUUGAAGGGGAGGAGAAAGAGGGAGAAAAAAGAGGUGGAGCAGAAAAGGGAGAGAUGGCAGCUUGGACUCCAAAGUUCGGAUUAGUGUCAGCGCCAGUCACGGGAAGCGCAGAGAACAGAAGGAAAAAGAAAAGAGAGAAUGGGGAUAGUCAAUGUUUAAUAGUUCAGCAAUCAGUCGCUAACUAGUGGACAGAAGAUAUGUAAAAUGCAGAGGGAGAAUCUAGACAUGGCGGAUGAGGAUGUUCUUGACACUGAACAAGGUCUCUAUCCACGAACAACAAGACAGCGACAUACGGACGAACAGGAGUGUGUAUACUGUCUACAGGCAGGGCAAUUAAAUCUCUCGCAAUGAUCUACUGUGCAAAUGAAGUACCUUCCAGCAUCUGCCAGAGCGUUUCAUCUGAGCCAUAACACCACUCCCCUUACAGGCUGAGAUGAAGCUGAGCCUGCGGCUGGUGAGUCGUGGGUUAGUUAUGCUGGAUUCAAGCCGGCAGCCUCAUCCAGCCAGUCCAGAUAAAGAUGCCCAAUAUCCCAGAUGCCGAUGUUGAGGACAGGAAUUAUCACCACCAACACCCCUGAGUACGCGUACCUGAGGCUGCCAUUAUUCUUCAAAACAAACGCAUCCAUGGUUCCUGGCGACGUCGAACCGAAACGCGAACCGGGGAACCAAACCGAAAAGCUAAAAUAAAAUAGGUAUUUAUCCCAGAUGAAGUCAUCGGAUCAGAUAAUUCGAGUCAAACCUGGACUCCUUGGGCCGCAACUCAUCUCAUCCAUCCCAAGACACCGACUAGGACGGGCAAGAUGCGAAUGACGGAACCAAACCCAACACCCCACUUGGCCCUAGUGCUUGUUAACCAACAACGGUGGCCAACGCAGAAGCAACUAUAUGUACAGAUGUACGUAUGGAAGUAUGGGUGUGCAUGUAUGUAACUCCAUCAAACAAAACGGACGAUCGUGGCACCAACAGACGGCCCCAGAUCUUCGCUGAGAUGGGGCAGGGCGGGGGCGGCAAGAGUCUGAGGUUUGAGCAGGCAUGAGACGAGCAAUGCCUGAAACGACUGCAUUAGUGAUUUUUAUGAGACAGAGAAUUCGUUCACGAUGGAUUAGUGGCCGUCACGUUGUUGGGCGGUUGGAUGAGGCGUUGGGCAUGGAUUUGGCAUGGCGUCGGCGGUGGGCAGGAAGGAAUGUUAAGAAUGCGAUCGAGAGGGACAUGUGUGGAAUGUCGCUCUUGUUCAUGUCGCCAGCGGAAUCAUAUCUGCUGUAUCAGUGCAUUGUCACAUCUGUGUGGCUGCUUUCUUUCCUGCUGCUGGUUAAAUAAAAUCUCCCAUCUGCUGAUCAGGGCUGUUUGCGGCGGAAGCUUCGCCAUUGCGAUAUACUCAACCUUCACGCAUGUGUGCUCAUAAGUUUAUAUAUUCUCAAAUAUUUGAUAACCCUACAACUAUGAUACCCCGUUUACCACGCAGCAGACGAGUAGUGAAAGUACACCUUAUUGUAACAUCUCAUUUCAAGAGGUUGUCGCAUUAAUUCUAAGCGCCUACUUACACCACUAAUCUUGGCUCUGUGACACCACCCCCCAUUGUCACCACCCCACUCCGCUCCCCC
rnacentral:sRNA from 2 species